rnacentral:rRNA from 1 species
GUAAACGAUGAGUGCUAAGUGUUGGAGGGUUUCCGCCCUUUCAGUGCUGCAGCUAACGCAUUAAGCACCCCGCCUGGGGAGUACGACCGCAAGGUUGAAACUCAAAGGAAUUGACGGGGGCCCGCACAGGCGGUGGAGCAUGUGGUUUAAUUCGAAGCAACGCGAAGAACCUUACCAGGUCUUGACAUCCUCUGACAACCCUAGAGAUAGGGCUUUCCCUUCGGGGACAGAGUGACAGGUGGUGCAUGGUUGUCGUCAGCUCGUGUCGUGAGAUGUUGGGUUAAGUCCCGCAACGAGCGCAACCCUUGUCGUUAGUUGCCAUCAUUCAGUUGGGCACUCUAGCGAGACUGCCGGUGACAAACCGGAGGAAGGUGGGGAUGACGUCAAAUCAUCAUGCCCCUUAUGACCUGGGCUACACACGUGCUACAAUGGACGGUACAACGAGCAGCGAACUCGCGAGGGCAAGCGAAUCUCUUAAAGCCGUUCUCAGUUCGGAUUGCAGGCUGCAACUCGCCUGCAUGAAGCCGGAAUCGCUAGUAAUCGUGGAUCAGCAUGCCACGGUGAAUACGUUCCCGGGCCUUGUACACACCGCCCGUCACACCACGAGAGUUUGUAACACCCAAAGUCGGUGCGGUAACCUUUUGGAGCCAGCCGCCUAAGGUGGGAUAGAUGAUUGGGGUG